CUCAUUCCGACCGUUAGGUAACCCGCACGCGCACACCUUCGCGAUCCCUUUAGUUUAUCAGUUUUUCUUUGCUUUAUUACGUAAUAUUCCUAAUUGCACUGUGCGACAGUGCAGAAGUGAUGUGCGGUAUGUGAUAAACGCGAAUUGAACAUACGCAGAGUUACCUGUGCAUGAGUGAUAAACCGUCGGCCGCCGAAUACUCUUCGAUAAUUUUUACCAGUGAAAACCAGUUAACAAUUUCCACAAUUCAACACUAUACCAGCAAUAGCCAUUUUAUUAAGCAACUUAAGGAAUUUUAUUUUGUAUCAAGUGUUUGCCGGGCCUUGGAGUCUGAUGAGUUCGGCAUUGGUUUAACGUUUUAACGAGACCUUACGGAUAUCUUGGACCAGCUGUGAACUGCAUGCUUCUUCCAGAAGGAUUCGAUAGAAAAUGGUAAUUUCCGGUAAAGCAAGAAACAUCUUCAACGAUUUCAAUGAUUCUAUUAAAGUUUGACAGGCUAAGAGGUAUUUAUUUAUCUUUAUUUUGCAAGGGGUAGUGUUACAAUUAUAACACUGUAACACUGAAAUGAAAAUAAAUAUAAGUUUACUGAUA